rnacentral:rRNA from 1 species
AACGAACGCUGGCGGCAUGCCUAACACAUGCAAGUCGAACGAGACCUUCGGGUCUAGUGGCGCACGGGUGCGUAACGCGUGGGAACCUGCCCUUAGGUUCGGAAUAACUCCCCGAAAGGGGUGCUAAUACCGGAUAAGGUCUUCGGACCAAAGAUUUAUCGCCUUUGGAUGGGCCCGCGUUGGAUUAGCUAGUUGGUAGGGUAAAAGCCUACCAAGGCGACGAUCCAUAGCUGGUCUGAGAGGAUGAUCAGCCACACUGAGACUGAGACACGGCCCAGACUCCUACGGGAGGCAGCAGUGGGGAAUAUUGGACAAUGGGCGAAAGCCUGAUCCAGCAAUGCCGCGAGAGUGAUGAAGGCCUUAGGGUUGUAAAGCUCUUUUACCCGGGAUGAUAAUGACAGUACCGGGAGAAUAAGCUCCGGCUAACUCCGUG